ACCUGCGUCCCCUGCAUCGGCAGGCGGACUCUCAACCACUGCGCCACCAGGGAAGCCUCCAAAAUGUUACAUUUUUAAAAAGGAGAUUUGGAAAGUGGUUGGAGCAGAGUCUUAUCCACGACAGUUGUAGGGAGACUUGGGUGCCACAUAAGACAGAAGUCAACAGUUCUUUGCUUUUCACUGAAGUCUGCACAUAACUUUGCAACUGACGCAGAGCCACCUGCACAUGAAGAGCUUGGUUUGGGAGGCUGCCUGAUGCCCCCAAGGGCCUGGCACGUGCCCAGGUGCCAUCCCUAAGCAGAAGGGCCUUUCUGGGGCUGUGCCUGGAUGGCAGUGGUGGAGGAGAUAGAACAGCUUGUUUUAAUGCUGCUGGGAAUGAUCCCGUAGCCGUCACAAAAGUGAUGAUGUCGCAGGAGACAGAGGGCCUGUUGCUGAAAUGCUGGGUGUCUUUGUAUAUUCUCUUUUGAUGGGUGAAAAUUUCCCAUGAUAUUGGAGCUUGGAGCAAAAGCAGACCCCCGCCGCAUCCCUCCACCUCCUGAAACCCUUACCUGGAAAGCGCUGAGUGCAGGAGGGAGACGUGGACCACGUGGAGCGACUCUGUAUGUGCAUCCAUGAGCUGAGUCCUGGCCGGGCGAUGGCCCAACCUUCCCGAGAGUGCCAGCCCCCUGGACCUGUGUGGGUUGGAGGGAGCCUCCAUUGUACUCUGGCUGCAGGUAGAAACAUGAUACAAUCAUAUUUCACCCCCAAAUCACCACUAGCCCAGAAAUGCCUAAUUUGGUUUAUUUAUUCAUGUGACUACAACCCUGAUGAAGGUGGGGCAAUCCAGUGGGCUAGUGUGACCCCAAGGGGACAAUGCCUCCCACACAAGUUCUGGCCCUGAGCCAAGCUACUUCAGGAUGAAAAAAAAAGGCACUGAGCUCAGCCCCCAGCCCACCUCCCCUCCAGGACACCCUCUGGGACCCAUAUCUGGUGUGACCCUUCUGACAUAUAUAAAAAUGCCUCAAUGUUCCCGAAUCUGGUUAUAUUUGGUCUUGUGCAGGCUUCUCAGAAAUAUCCACCUUACUUCUGGGUAUACAUAUAUAUUGAUUUGUGGCCUAUUCCAGUCCUUAAAACUCUACUCAAUUUUUCAGGCUUGGACCAAGUGCCACCACCUCCAGGCAGCCUUACCAGAUUGCUCACAGAUUGAAUUCACUGCUCUCUCCUCUGUAGCUCAAGUCCCCUUCCCACCUUGAGUACAUUUAGAUGUUUAAAUUCUGUUUCCUCUAUUAGACUCACUCAUUCAUUCAUUUAUAAAUCCAUUUGGCUGAACUUGACUGAGCCCCUGCCAUGCACAGGCCUGGUGCCUUCAGGUGCCUGUAUCCCCAGGCAGGUUUACGUUCCUAGCACUGAGCACAGCACCUGCCUGUUGGGUAACAGGUGUUUGGUAAAUAAGUAGAUGCUGUGAACCCAUCUGCCCAACCCUCCUGCGCUCAACACAUCUUUGUUUAGACUUUUACCUGCGCCUUUGCUGAUCACACUUUAAUGAACAUUCUUCCUCCCUUGAUGGGAGAGCUGUGGCGGUGUGGUAAAAACUGUUGGUCAGACUGUUGGAGUUGCCUGCUGCUCUGGCCUGGGCCCCCGGCCACCGGGUUCCCACGCUGGCUGCACUUCAGACAAGCCUGCCCAGCCCCGCCGUCCUCCUCCACGGCCUCUGAGAGGUGAGGGCAGUGGGCUUGCUGGAGCCUGUCCAGGUGGUGUAGCUGUUGCCAUUACCUGCAUCAGUCUUUUGGGGCGGCCGUAACAAAGUACCACCAAACGGGUGGCUCGAAACAACAGAAACUUCUCUCACAGCUCUGAAGACCAGAAGUCCAAAAUCAGGGCGUCGGCAGGACCCCACUCCCUUCCCAGGCUCUAGAGGGGAUCCUUCCUCACCUCUACAGGCCUCUGGGGGCUGCUGGUGUUCCUCGCUGUGCCUUGGCCUGUGCACACAUCACUCCAAUCUCUGUUUCUGUCUUUACUUGGCCUUAUUCAGUGUGUCUCCCUCUGUGUCUCUUCUCUUCUUUUAAAGACACCAGCCACUGGUGUAGAGCCCACUCUCACCCAGUACAACCUCAUCUUAAUGACAUUUGCAAAGAUCCUGUUUCCAAAUAAGGUCACAUUCUGAGGUUCUGGGCGAACGUGAAUUUAGGGGGACACUGUUCAACCACCACACAGCCCUCCUGGGCAGAAAUCCGGCAUCACCCACAUUCCCAGAGCGCUGCCAUGGGUGUGCAGGGAAGGGAAGAGGACCCGGAUGGUUGGGCCCCUCUCAUGGCAGCCACCCGCCUGAUCCAGUCAUGACUCUCCUUCAGCCCUGCCUGGGGGCCCCGAGGCCCCCCCGGUCCAGCUGUGGUUGAGCCGAGAGUCCUGCCCAGGCUUCUGGUUCUGAAUCCGAGUCUCUUCCUAGAGAGACAGGUUUCUUCCGCAGUGUGCGCCCUGGUCGUCCUUGGGCUGCCCUGUGUCUGGGUGAGCAAUGCCACCUGAGGGGGCCCAGUAUGGCAUUUUGUAAGCACAGUGUGACAUUCCUAGGUAGCUCUGCAGCCUCUGGGGGCAGAAGCCCUGGUUUCUGACACGUAAAUUACUGUGUUGUUGCCAAUGUAAGUUGUAAACACAAGUAAGCCCACGUCACAAAUCCACUUUUAUUAAAACAUGUAACUUUUCAGUGUUAUGGGUCCAAUUUUCAUUAAAUGAGGAAGAUGACCAAA